ACCCUAAGUAAUGGGACAUAUAACUUGCACGCAUUCUUAUUCAAAAAUUACAAUUUUUGAAAAUUAAAUGUACAAUUUUUUAUACGCAAUUCAAAACCUUUCCGAUUCUCGUUCACAGGCCGGUGUGACCGCGUGAACACACUUGAUUUUCGAGAAACUGAAGGGUGUGAACUGCCUGUAAUAAAUAUAUAUAUUUUUUUUUAAUUGCCCUCAUCAACGAGAAUGCGUGUAUGUUGGCACAACCUCUAUUAUUUAAAAUAAAAGUUAACGUGGAAAAUGUUAAUGCCCUGGAUGGCAUUUCACAUUGUGAUUUGUGAUGAUCUUCAAUCUGCCUAUGUACCAUGCAUAUCGCCACAACUUGUAUGGGAAAAAUGAGACGUUCAUUCACUGUUAGGGGAUUUUCUCACAAACUGUCGGAUUCCUCUUGAUUAAACUUUUUAACGCUUAA